rnacentral:snRNA from 1 species
AUCGCUUCUCGGCCUUUUGGCUAAGAUCAAGUGUAGUAUCUGAUGUCAGAAGUCCAGAUUAUAGAACACAGCAAAACCAAAUGUACUGAGUGAUUUUCUUUUAACCUUU